GUGUCAGCAGCCGCGGUAAUACGUAGGGUGCGAGCGUUGUCCGGAAUUAUUGGGCGUAAAGAGCUCGUAGGCGGUCUGUCGCGUCGGAUGUGAAAACUCGGGGCUCAACCCCGAGCCUGCAUUCGAUACGGGCAGACUAGAGUUCGGUAGGGGAGACUGGAAUUCCUGGUGUAGCGGUGAAAUGCGCAGAUAUCAGGAGGAACACCGGUGGCGAAGGCGGGUCUCUGGGCCGAUACUGACGCUGAGGAGCGAAAGCGUGGGGAGCGAACAGGAUUAGAUACCCUGGUAGUCC
rnacentral:rRNA from 1 species